CGAGCCGGCCGGGCGGCCGCGUCGGUCCCUCUCACGAGGGGCCGCCGAGGAACGUCCGGGCUCCACAGGGCAGGGUGGUGGGUAACGCCCACCCGGGGUGACCCGCGGGACAGUGCCACAGAAAACAAACCGCCGGCGGCCCUCACGGGUCUGCCGGUAAGGGUGAAACGGCGGUGUAAGAGACCACCAGCGCCCGAGGCGACUCGGGCGGCUAGGUAAACCCCACCCGGAGCAAGGUCAAGAGGGGCCCUCGGAAACGAGGACCCUGCGCGAGCACUCGAGGGCAGCCCGCCCGAGCUCGCGGGUAGACCGCUAGAGGCCGACGGCAACGCCGGCCGUAGAUGGAUGGCCGCCUCCCCCGGCGCCGCAAGGCCCCGGGGAGACAGAACCCGGCGUACAGGCCGACUCGUCCG
rnacentral:RNase_P_RNA from 1 species